UACGUAGGGUGCAAGCGUUGUCCGGAAUUAUUGGGCGUAAAGAGCGUGUAGGCGGUUCGGUAGGUCCGUUGUGAAAACUCGAGGCUCAACCUCGAGACGCCGAUGGAAACCCCCGAACUAGAGUCCGGAAGAGGAGAGUGGAAUUCCCGGUGUAGCGGUGAAAUGCGCAGAUAUCGGGAAGAACACCCGUGGCUAAGGCGGCUCUCUAGUACGGUACUGACGCUGAGACGCGAAAGCGUGGGGAGCGAACAGG
rnacentral:rRNA from 1 species